CCGGGGGCAAGAGGUUCGACUCGAGCGCAGCGAGAGAACGUUGCGUCAGCAACGGCCCGCAGGGCGAGCCACGCAGUGGCGAGUCAUCCUCUAUCGCCAGCA
rnacentral:sRNA from 1 species